UCCCCUCCCUGGCUGGCUUUCCUUGGGAUACUCUGUGGAGUCCUCCGCACUGCUGCUCACACCAGCCUCCCAUCAGCACAGCAGUAUGUGCAGAGUUAUGCCCCAACCUCCUAGUCACAGCCACACUGCACAGCACUGUAUAGCGGGCAGUCCACCCUGACCCCAAGAGCCAAGCAAAAGCCAGUGCCCCUUGCCACCCUCAUAUCCUAUCAACAGAGUGUGAAUCUAUACACAAGUCUGGGUCUUCUCCACCGCUCUCAUGGAUCAACAGUGAGACAAGAAGGCAUCACCCUAGCCCAGAGGCAAGAAACCGCCCGCCUUUGGUGUGUGUCUGCCUGAGAUCCUGCGUUGCUCACAGUCUGGGAGCUGCCAGUCCUGGGCCUGGGAAGGAGGGCAAGGCUGGUUUCCCAAUAAGGCAACUCCUUUCCCACUGGAAGGCACAGACAGCAGUGCUAGAAGGGCCAGGUGCAUGUUUCCUCGCUACAAAUUAGCCUUGUCCAAUGCAUACACUUACACUCAGGUCUCAGAGGUGAGCACAGAAAACAGACACCUGGUGACUCACCUGAGCUCUCUGCCCUCGCUGUAUCGUCUACUUGAGGCCCUCGGGGAGGCUGUCUCCAGGAGCAACUUCUGAGUGAGCCUGCUGGGGGGGGCACCAUCUCUGCCAUCAUCCUCUUCGACUGCGUCCUGGUCACAUUUCCACUCCUCAUCUUCAUUCAAAGUGGGCAGGGCUCAAGCUUCCUGAAGCCACUGCAGGCGAACCAGAAGUCCAGCAGGUCAGCACAGCCCUCCUGCUUCAGGAAAGUCCUGAACAGGCUUAUCCCAUCCUGGUCGUCCAGCAAGGAAUGCAGUGACUCGGCCCACCGCAAGUAUGGUGGGGUAGGAGAGGCACUGCCCUCAGGCUCGUACCCCAGAUCCAGAUCUGAGCGCCUCGGGGUGGCUGUUGAGGUCUCGCCUUUAAUGCUGACACCUUUCCCAGAGCAGAAACUGUGGCUGAUGGGCCUUGGGUCUGUGGACACCAGUUCUCCCUCCUCACCAGGCACUGGGGGCCGGGGGGCAUCUUCAGUGAAACUUGCUCCAAGGUCCAAGGGGAAACCCUGCUCCUGGACACUCAUUCUGGGACUCUGCGUCAAUGAACAACGAGCGCUGCACCCUAAUACAUCAGUACUUACGGCUCCAA